CGCCCAGGGCACACUGCUGGUCUGCUUGUACCUGCUGCCCAAGGGCUGAGCCCAGAGUGGUUAGUGUCCAGAUGGGAGCAUCGUGGACCAGCGGAGACCGUCACACACGCACAGAGUGAAUCCUGCUGUGACAUGAACACUGGCCUCUGAGCCAGUGGGACUUGAUUCAAGUGUCAUCUCUGCCUCCCACUUUCUUGAGGCCUCAGCACUCUGAGUGUAUCCUCUGUCCUGACCUUCAUGGGUUUGCUGGGAAAUCCUCUCACAGUCUCACGGGGGCUCCCUUGUAUGUGGAGAAGACGGUGUAAAGAUAGAGCUGAGAGAUUUGAGGAUGCUGACAUUGAAGCCUGGAGGGAUGUGUCCACAAGCCAAGGAAUGCCUACAGCCACCAGAACCUGAAAGAGGCAAGGGAUGGAUUCUUUCCUAGAGCCUCUGGAGGAGGCACUGCACUGACUAUACCUUGAUUUCAGCCCAGUGAGACUGAUUUCAUACUUUUGUCCUCCAGAACUGUAAGAUGAUACAUUUCUGUUGUUUUAAGGCACUAAACGUGUAGUAAUUUGUUACAGCAGCCCCAAGAAACAUACAGGGGAUGUCUGAUCAUUUUUAUGGUUUGGACAGUGUCCUUGUUUUUGUCCAAGUUCAUGGGUUAUGGGUUGAAUUGUCUACUCCUCAAGUUCAUAUGUUAAAGUUCUAACCCCCAGUACUGUAGAAUAUGACCUUAUUUAGAAAUGGCCAGUAGCGUGGGCCCCUAAACCAAUAUGACUGGUGUCCUUACAAAAAAGGGAAAUGUAGACAGAGAUGCACUACAGGGGGAGCACCAGGUGGAAAUCGGAGUUCUGUUGCCAUAAGCCCAGGAACCACCAGAAGUUAGGAGAGAGGCCUGGAACGUCUCCUUCCCUUGCACCUUCAGAGAAAGUGUGGUCUUGCAGACACCUUGAUCACAGGCUUCCAGUCUCCAGAACUGCCAGACUUUAUGUGUUAUCUAAUCCACGUAGUUUGUGAUACUUUGUUACGGCUUCCUGGCCAAUGAGUACAGUUCAGAGAUGAUUACAGAGUGGUCUUGCUUUUGUCUUGCCUGUGACCUUGUCUGAUGUUGACAUUGUAUGAAAUUGUUUAUGUUCGACAGGAAAACUCCAGCGCCUAGCUGUGAGGGCUGGGCCAGCUCUCCCAAAUGUCAGGGACUGCUUUUCUCUUUCUUAUCACAGAAUCUUUACUCAUCUGAUAAAUGUUCACUUUAUGUUGUCUUUAAGCAUUGUAACUAAUUCUUUCUAAAAAAUAUUUAAACCUUC